UACGGGGGGGGCAAGCGUUGUUCGGAAUUACUGGGCGUAAAGGGCUCGUAGGCGGCCCACUAAGUCAGACGUGAAAUCCCUCGGCUUAACUGGGGAACUGCGUCUGAUACUGGAUGGCUUGGAUUCGGGAGAGGAAUGCGGAAUUCCAGGUGUAGCGGUGAAAUGCGUAGAUAUCUGGAGGAACACCGGUGGCGAAGGCGGCAUUCUGGACCGAUAUUGACGCUGAGGAGCGAAAGCCAGGGGAGCAAACGGG
rnacentral:rRNA from 1 species